rnacentral:rRNA from 1 species
GACGAACGCUGGCGGCGUGCUUAACACAUGCAAGUCGAACGGAAAGGCCUCUUUCGGGGGGUACUCGAGUGGCGAACGGGUGAGUAACACGUGAGUAACCUGCCCUUGACUUUGGGAUAACUUUAGGAAACUGGGGCUAAUACCGGAUAGGAGCUCCUGCUGCAUGGUGGGGGUUGGAAAGUUUCGGUGGUUGGGGAUGGACUCGCGGCUUAUCAGCUUGUUGGUGGGGUAGUGGCUUACCAAGUCUUUGACGGGUAGCCGGCCUGAGAGAGUGACCGGCCACAUUGAGGCUGAGAUACGGCCCAGACUCCUACGGGAGGCAGCAGUGGGGAAUAUUGCACAAUGGGUGGAAGCCUGAUGCAGCAACGCCGUGUGCGGGAUGACGGCCUUCGGGUUGUAAACCGCUUUCGCUCAUGACGAAGCUUUGUGUGACGGUAGUGGGUAAAGAAGCACCGGCUAACUACGUG